rnacentral:rRNA from 2 species
AAAUUGAAGAGUUUGAUCAUGGCUCAGAUUGAACGCUGGCGGCAGGCCUAACACAUGCAAGUCGAACGGUAACAGGAAGCAGCUUGCUGUUUCGCUGACGAGUGGCGGACGGGUGAGUAAUGUCUGGGAAACUGCCUGAUGGAGGGGGAUAACUACUGGAAACGGUAGCUAAUACCGCAUAACGUCGCAAGACCAAAGAGGGGGACCUUCGGGCCUCUUGCCAUCGGAUGUGCCCAGAUGGGAUUAGCUUGUUGGUGGGGUAACGGCUCACCAAGGCGACGAUCCCUAGCUGGUCUGAGAGGAUGACCAGCCACACUGGAACUGAGACACGGUCCAGACUCCUACGGGAGGCAGCAGUGGGGAAUAUUGCACAAUGGGCGCAAGCCUGAUGCAGCCAUGCCGCGUGUAUGAAGAAGGCCUUCGGGUUGUAAAGUACUUUCAGCGGGGAGGAAGGGAGUAAAGUUAAUA